GACGAACGCUGGCGGCGUGCUUAACACAUGCAAGUCGAACGGUGAAGGUGGGAGCUUGCUCCUGCUGGAUCAGUGGCGAACGGGUGAGUAACACGUGAGUAACCUGCCCUUGACUCUGGGAUAAGCGUUGGAAACGACGUCUAAUACCGGAUACGAGCUUCAGCCGCAUGGCUAGGAGUUGGAAAGAAUUUCGGUCAAGGAUGGACUCGCGGCCUAUCAGCUUGUUGGUGAGGUAAUGGCUCACCAAGGCGACGACGGGUAGCCGGCCUGAGAGGGUGACCGGCCACACUGGGACUGAGACACGGCCCAGACUCCUACGGGGGGCAGCAGUGGGGAAUAUUGCACAAUGGGCGCAAGCCUGAUGCAGCAACGCCGCGUGAGGGACGACGGCCUUCGGGUUGUAAACCUCUUUUAGCAGGGAAGAAGCGAAAGUGACGGUACCUGCAGAAAAAGCACCGGCUAACUAC
rnacentral:rRNA from 1 species